GACCUGGUGGUGAAAUGAAUCAUGCCUGCAACCUAUAAUGUGAGCUAGUAGGUGCGGGAGUCCCUGGUUCAAAUCUGGGCUGGGUCA